GGCGGGCAUAGGAGGAGGGAAGGAAGUAGGGAGUUAUGGGUAAGUAGGCUUGGCUAUUUAAAUAGGCAGCCAUUUUAAAGCCUUCACUUUUAAUUACUACCUUGCUGAGUUUGUCCCGCCCACCCUCCCUGAAUUUGGUUCGGACUUGGGUUUUCCCGUUUUUUCACAGCGGCGGGAUAGGGAGCUGAAGGAGAAGAAAUAGGCUCCCUAGGAUGAACGUCAUGGAGACGUAAAACUGUGGUCAUUGGUGGUUGGUAGGUUCCGAGUCCUGUCGGUGGCUCAGAAUCUGGUGGGGCAGGGGUAUCCGGGUAUACCCCUGCCAUGGUUAAUUUAUGUUUGGCACUUUAAGUUGGUAUGUUGGAAU